UGCAUUAGCACCUUAAUAGUUCCGAUCCAUGUUCUUUGCUUAAACACAUGAUCAUUGCUUCCAUUUAUCCUCUUAGUAAUUCCCAUCGUGAUAAUUUCUUAUCUGGUUCGAUAGAUUAUAUAUACAUGAUCUUGAAGGAACAAGGAACAGAAAAAAAAAGAUAGUCAUAGAUGUUAACUUCAGAAAUAUUACAUGUACAUUACAGGCUCUGUAUACAUAAGCUUCUAAGCAACACCUCGGCCAGCUUUCGCAAAUCGGAUUGCACAUCAGUUAGGAGUUAGGACCCCAGCAGCUCAAGUACAUCACAGUCCUCAGUGACUCCUCUGCCUGUUUAAGCUUGUUAUCUUCACUGUUUUUACCAGAUUUAUUGAGAUCAUUAAAACUGAAAUUACCUGAAAAGCUUAUCGUUUGCUUAGAUGAAGCAGCCUCCUUGAGGUCAGUUUUAGGAGCUUUGUCUUUAACACUUUGCAUCCUUUGGGAACCAGCUGGAUGAAACUCUUCCUUGCUGAUGGAUCUCAAGCUCAUGAAUGCUUAAUUUCCUUUGUGUGUGUGUGUAGGAAGUACUACUGUUUGUUUCAAGAACGUUAGAGAAGAGAGGAAGAGAGAUGUAAAUUCUACUCUAUAAGAGUAGAGUAGAGCAGAGCUGGAGUGGAAGGAUGUCAAGUAGCUGAUCUAGUUAUUGACUUGUGGGGGAACUUUGAGACUAGAGUUCAAUAUAUAUAUAGGCUUUAUUUGUUUAUGUAAUGUGGUGUGUUCAGUGUUUUACAUCAAUUACAAUUUUAAAGAUAUUUAGUUAAGUAACACACUACAGUUUUGCAGAAGUUUAUUUAAAAGAAUUUUUUUCUUGGAAUUACUUUGAUUUUUUUUAAAAAAAAGCUAUAAUUUGCAUACAUGCUCAAUUACUUCCGAUAUGGACUGUAGAAAAAAAAAUAGAAAUGGGUUGAAGAAAUCUUUCUUCUAUCCAUAAAUUUCAUGACAUUGA
rnacentral:lncRNA from 1 species